UUUUUCACCAGGGGUGUUUCCUCGCAAAUUUGAAUUUCUCUCAGUAAGGACUGAAGGAUAGCCAUUCACUCAUAAAACCUUUUAAAGGUCAGCAGGAAUGCGUCCAGCAUAAUUUUGGAUCUUUACCAUUGAGGAGACUGGCUGACUUUCUCAACCAACCAUCAUUCACACACAAAAACUUUAAAGGUAACUACGAAUGCGUCUAGAGCAGUUUUCGAUCUUUACCAUUGAGGAGGCUGACUGACUAUCAUCUACCAACCGUCAUGAACACAACAAAAACUAAAGUAAUGUUACUACAAGUGGACCUAUUCAUUGAUUCAUUAUGCUGUGAGUACACCACAGUUUUAUUAGUGAAACAAUAAUGUUUGUGUUUUCUCACUGCUUGGCAUAGACAAAUGUGACCCUGUGUAAUUUGGAAAUUUCAUGGGAAAAGUGUACGUCUUAAAAAUGUUUAAAUGUUGUUUGAUUUAAGGAAAAGUACACUGAUUUACAAUACACUGAGUUUAUUAAAGUCACAAAGAAAUACUUGAUAUAUUUAUAAUGAAUGGGUAAAUCUAAUAUUAGUUUUAAUGUGAAUUUGGACUGAACAGCACACUUUUGUUUUAUGUCUAAAACAAUGUUUGUAAAAUAAACG